rnacentral:rRNA from 1 species
AGGGGUUUGAUCAUGGGCUCAGAACGAACGCUGGCAGCGUGGAUUAGGCAUGCAAGUCGAACGGGAAAUUCCGGUUUCAAUCUUUCGAGAGAGAGACCGGAAUGGAGAGUGGCGUAAGGGUGAGUAACGCGUGGGUAACCUACCUCUAAGUUGGGGACAACCCUUCGAAAGAGAGGCUAAUACCGAAUGUGGUCAUACGGCAUAGGCUGUUAUGAUCAAAGAUGGGGAUCCUUCGGGACCUGUUGCUUGGAGAGGGGCCCGCGUGCCAUCAGCUUGUUGGUAGGGUAACGGCCUACCAAGGCUUACGGCUAGCUGGUCUGAGAGGAUGAUCAGCCACACUGGGACUGAGACACUGCCCAGACUCCUACGGGAGGCUGCAGUCGAGGAUCAUUCGCAAUGCGCGAAAGCGUGACGAUGCGACGCUGCGUGGAGGAUGACGGCCCUAGGGUUGUAAACUCCUGUCAUUCGGGAAAAACGACUUUUGGAUUAAUACCCCAGGAGAGUGAUGGUACCGGAAGAGGAAGCCACGGCUAACUCUGUGCCAGCAGCCGCGGUAAUACAGAGGUGGCAAGCGUUGUUCGGAUUUACUGGGCGUAAAGGGUGCGUAGGUGGCUCUGUGUGUCGGGUGUGAAAUCCCGCGGCUCAACCGCGGAACUGCAUUCGAAACUGCAGGGCUAGAGUGCAGGANGGGAGAGCGGAAUUCUUGGUGUAGCGGUGAAAUGCGUUGAUAUCAAGAAGAACACCGGUGGCGAAGGCGGCUCUCUGGAAUGCUACUGACACUGAGGCACGAAAGCUGGGGG